GACGAACGCUGGCGGCGUGCCUAACACAUGCAAGUCAACUUGACUGAAGGAGCAAUCUGACAGUAGAGUGGCGCAAGGGUGCGUAACGCGUAAGUAACUUGCCCCAAGGUAAGGAAUAACGUCGAGAAAUCGGCGCUAAUACCUCAUAAUGCAGCGGAUCCGCAUGGAUAUGUUGUUAAAGGUUUACCGCCUUGGGAUAGGCUUGCGUCUGAUUAGCUAGUUGGUGUGGUAACGGCACACCAAGGCUACGAUCGGUAACUGGUCUGAGAGGAUGAUCAGUCACACUGGAACUGAGACACGGUCCAGACUCCUACGGGAGGCAGCAGUGAGGAAUAUUGGGCAAUGCUCGAAAGAGUGACCCAGCAACGCCGCGUGGAGGAUGAAGGUAUUCUAUAUCGUAAACUCCUGUGAGAGCAGACGAAAGACAGAUUAUUAAUCUAGGAUGACUGUAAUGCUCAAGAGGAAAGCCCCCGGGCUAAACU
rnacentral:rRNA from 1 species